UGUAAGCUAACAAACAUCGGAGGAAAGUAGUACUACUAUAGCAAAUUGUAGUAUUUGAGAUUCCAACCUACGUAUACAGAUUCACCAACCAGACACAUAGCAAAUUGCAGAGACUAGAAAAAGAAGCAGUAGUUGCCCUCGGAAUAAGAGCUAAUAAGCUCUUUAAUUUGGAUGAUGUGUCUAUCUUAUUCUUGAUUCUUUCAAAACUAUGCACUAGUCCGUUGCAACCCUCAAUUUACAGCUUCCUCUAAACAACUCUGGGUGUUGUGUGGGGGCAGGAAGCAUUUGAGUAGCAUCCAAAUAUUUUCCAUUUUCAAGUUUAGUUUGAAUAUGCAGACGCCUAAGUCAAGAAGCAGUUCCUCAGGAGCAGCUCCGAGGAUUUCUCCUCGCUCUAUUUCUGUUAGCCGUCUUUACCGAUUUCUAUACCGAAAUCACAUUCUAGAUUCGUAUUAAUUCAACCAUAAUAUAUACCACAUCAAAGAGAUGAUUUACCAACCUCCAUCCAUAGCUCAUAUUUGAUGUAGGGUGGAAUUCCACGAGUUGAUGUUUCCCCUAAAAGCUGCGGUUGAUAUUAUCGUCUCUUUGGCCUUUCCUUUAUGAAUUCUUUUGAUGGAGAAGAAUUCGAUAUCAAUAUGACUUUAUUGUAUAUAGGAUUCUGUAGAGAUUUCUGUGUGUUUAAAUCUGAAAAUCUGAUUUGUUUAUAUAAGAUAUAAGCAACCUUUCACGAAAGGUUGCAUCCGUUCACGAAAGGUUGCAUCCGUUCACUUAUACCCUUUCAUGUAAAACUCUUCAGAUUUUAUGUAGACUUUAUUCUACAGCUUUUCAUA